GUGCUUACUUUGGCAGCACAUGUAUAACAAUUGGAACAAUACAAAGAUUAACAUGGCUCCUGUGCAAAGAUGACAGGAAUAUUUGUGAAGUAUUCCAUAAUUUU